AUCGAACGCUGGCGGCAUGCCUUACACAUGCAAGUCGAACGGCAGCACGGGAGCAAUCCUGGUGGCGAGUGGCGAACGGGUGAGUAAUAUAUCGGAACGUGCCCAGUAGUGGGGGAUAGCCCGGCGAAAGCCGGAUUAAUACCGCAUGAGACCUGAGGGUGAAAGCGGGGGAUCGCAAGACCUCGCGCUAUUGGAGCGGCCGAUAUCAGAUUAGCUAGUUGGUGGGGUAAAGGCCUACCAAGGCAACGAUCUGUAGUUGGUCUGAGAGGACGACCAGCCACACUGGGACUGAGACACGGCCCAGACUCCUACGGGAGGCAGCAGUGGGGAAUUUUGGACAAUGGGCGCAAGCCUGAUCCAGCAAUGCCGCGUGCAGGAAGAAGGCCUUCGGGUCGUAAACUGCUUUUGUCAGGGAAGAAAUCCCUUGGGAUAAUACCUCGGGGGGAUGACGGUACCUGAAGAAUAAGCACCGGCUAACUACGUGCCAGCCGCCGCGGUAAGAC
rnacentral:rRNA from 1 species